ACGUCCGUAGCUCAGUUGGUUAGAGCGCAUCCUUGACAUGGAUGAGGUCGGUGAUUCAAAUUCACUCGGACGUACCA
rnacentral:tRNA from 1 species